CUUAAUUAUGGGCGAUUUGAUACGAUCAUGGAUUGGUCAUUGGUUAGGAGCCGUAACCUGAUUCGGAGAACGAUUGCAUGAAGGUGGUGCAAGGCACUAAGUUGAUUUUAAGGUACACACAAUUUAUUAUUUUAUAACACUAGAGCUGUAAUCAUUCAUUGUUAACCUUGUAUUAGUCCGUACUUAUUCUCAAACCGAAACUAUUUUCCAACGGCCCAAGCAGUCAAGCUUUCGUUUUGUGCAGAAUUGGAAGCGCUUUGGUGAUCGGAGUUUUGGAUUGUGAGGGCUCUCUUGUUAAUAUUUGGAGUUCUUGCUGUUUGAGGAGGAUAAAUGCAGAUGAGCUGGUACUGUCUUGUGGUUAUGUUUAACCUUGGUUCUAAGCUCUAAAGAACUGUUUAGUGAGGUCUCUUGAAUGGGUUAAGUUGGUCCUUUUUAUUAAUUUAUCUUGUUG
rnacentral:lncRNA from 1 species